AGAACGAACGCUGGCGGCAUGCCUAACACAUGCAAGUCGAACGUGAUCCGGGGCUUGCUCCGGUGAAAGUGGCGGACGGGUGAGUAACGCGUGGGAACCUGCCCAGUGGUCGGGGAUAACUGCGGGAAACUGCAGCUAAUACCCGGUAAGCCCUAUGGGGGAAAGAUUUAUCGCCAUUGGAGGGGCCCGCGUCGGAUUAGGUAGUUGGUGGGGUAAAGGCCUACCAAGCCUUCGAUCCGUAGCUGGUCUGAGAGGAUGAUCAGCCACACUGGGACUGAGAUACGGCCCAGACUCCUACGGGAGGCAGCAGUGGGGAAUAUUGGACAAUGGGCGCAAGCCUGAUCCAGCAAUGCCGCGUGAGUGAAGAAGGCCUUAGGGUUGUAAAGCUCUUUCGGCGGGGACGAUGAUGACGGUACCCGCAGAAGAAGCCCCGGCUAACUCCGUGCCAGCAGCCGC
rnacentral:rRNA from 1 species